CUGAAAGGCAGCAUCUGGGUUCUGUUUCCCAUUGUAACACUGAGGAUCCAACACUUUCAGGAAUAGACCAGGUGCUCGACCAGAUCAAUGCAUGCGAAUCUCAGCCCCUGUGUACCUCCUACAGUCUGAACAUCACACCAGGAACUUCACAAACAUUCCCUCACUGAGUCAUCUCAAUAGGCCUAGGAGGCAGAUACCAUCAUCUCUGCUCUAUAGACAUGGAAACUAAGGCACAGCAACUUGCCCAGGGCCAUUUGUAAACAGAAUUUGUAUCCAGAUCGAUUUGAUGAACAUGAGCAUGGCAUUUUCAAAAGACCAGUGGCCAACUAGAAGCGUAUAUUGGAGAACAGCAGAGAAAAGACUGGGUCUGAACUACACGCUUGUGAGACAAGGCCGCUGUGUGUGUACAUGUGUGUGUGUAAACAGUAGUGAGGGUCGGAGUUUAGUAAACUUGGCAGAUCUAGCUCAUAACGCAGCAUAAAUGUAUCACAGCAGCUUCCAUUCUGAGGCCUGGGAGCAAGGGGUGCUGUGGUGCAUGAGGGCUAAGAAAGGACAAACAGGAAGAAGGACAAAUGGGAAGGGAAAAGAGAGGGAGGAGAAGGAUAGUUCUGACAUGUCUGGAAACAGAACAUGUGUUUCUUCAGCUUGUCCCCCCACCUCCUACGUGCAUGUCUCUGCCCUAUGGUGGCCUCGUUCUCAGAGCGUCAGCGCACAGAUGCUGUCUCAGAUCCCACCAUGGCACUUCACCAGGUACGGGAGGCUUUGGCCCCCCAAAUGCACCCAUGUCCUAAUUCCUGGAACCUACAAGUGUAUAAAGGCCAAAAAAGGGACUUUGCAGAUUUGAUUACAUUAAGCAUUUUGAGGUGGGGAGAUUAUCCAGAUAGGCCUUAAAUGUAACCAUAAGCAUCUUUUUUUUUUUGAAGGUUCUGUUUUUAUUGAUUAGAUCUAGGUAUAGUUGCAAUCUUUCCACCAUACAUACGAUAUAAAUCGGUGGGUUGCCAUUUCCUUCUCCAAUGCAUGAAAGUGAAAAGUGAAAGUGAAGUCGCUUAGUCGGUGUCUGACUCUUGAGACCCCGUGGACUGCAGCCUACCAGGCUCCUCCGUCCAUGGGAUUUUCCAAGCAAGAGUACUGGAGUGGGGUGCCAUUGCCUUCUCCAAUCAAACAAAUAACAUACAUAUAAUAUAAAUGGGAAUGAAUGACCCACUAUUGAUCGGACAUAUUCUGGUAGCUACACAGUAUUGUCCUAUUCUUUCUCUGGUUAAUUUUGAGUCUGGAAGAACAUCAGUCCUCUAUUUAAGCUGCUGUAUAUCUAACUGUCCAAAUUAAAUUAAUCUAGUAAACAGAAAAUAAAUAUUUACACAAACUUGAAGGAUCAUGCUAGGUUUUGUACAUGAGUAACAAGAACAGAAUUCAUAAUUACAUUUUUAAAUGUUUAUCUGGCUGUUUUUUUGUGGGUUAGAUUGAUA
rnacentral:lncRNA from 1 species